AACUCUGAGCAGUGGAUCACUCAGCUCGUGCGUUGAUGAAGAAUGCAUCUAGCUGCGAGUACUAAUGUGAAUUGCAGGACACAUUGAUCAUCAACACUUUGAAUGCACUUUGCGGCCCCGGGUUACUCAUCGGGCUACGCUUGUCUGAGGUUCA